UACGGAGGAUGCAAGCGUUAUCCGGAAUGAUUGGGCGUAAAGCGUCUGUAGGUGGCACUUCAAGUCUGCUGUUAAAUACUAGGGCUCAACCCUGGAGCGGCAGUGGAAACUAAAGAGCUAGAGUUCGGUAGGGGUAGAGGGAAUUCCCGGUGUAGCGGUGAAAUGCGUAGAGAUCGGGAGGAACACCAGUGGCGAAAGCGCUCUGCUAGGCCGAAACUGACACUCAUGGACGAAAGCUAGGGGAGCGAAUGGG
rnacentral:rRNA from 1 species